GUUGUACGUUUAAAUAAUCAUUUGCGCAAUGCUGAAGACAAACGAGGCAUCGAAAACGUAUUUCGAUCAAAAUUCUCUUUGUUCUUUGACACUUAACGAAACUAUAAGAAAGAGAAUUUUGAUCGAAAUACGUUUUCGAUGUCUCGUUUGUCUUCAGCAUUAAUCAAAU